rnacentral:lncRNA from 1 species
UGUUUCCAUUUGUGAACAACAUAUAUGUGUGUAUGAAUAAAAUUUAUAAAUGGACAUAACCUUAUACACAAGAUUUAAAAUAACCCCUGGGCACAUGUGGGCCCAACCCAGAGAUAGCCCUUCCUGAAAUGACUGGAGCCAAGAGCCUGUCACGCUCGCGGUAUUCAGUGCAAGGUCUGAUCGCGUCUUCUGUCACUCAAGGCCUGAGGGCGCGGAGCCUGGAGCUCUAUCCAUUAAGGGCGCUGGGGUGGGAACUGUCCAAUCAGGUUCACAGUCAGAGAGGAAGGGGUGGCUCCCGGUACCUGGCGGGGCCUUUGUCUCUUGCUCCAGCCAGAGCUCGAGGUUAGCUCUUCACUGCCCUGUGUCUUCUUUCCAAGGGUCUCGGUGAUUCGGCCACAGCCUCAGCCUCCAUCACGCGGUGAACUGAUGGUGCUGGAAGAUUCAUAGACUCCAGGACAUUCCUGAAGCCGAGAAAAGGUUAAGUAGGGUCUGGCCUGGAAUACUCUCCUAGAUGAAGAUAGCCCAACCAUGAGCCACCUUCGAAGCAGAUGAGAUGAAAUUAAAGCUCUUCAACUCCUAAAGGCCCAGAGACUAUCACAAAAGAGGUCAGAAAUCCUGAAGGUCACUUUCUGACAAACUCAGGAACCCCAGGUUUAUCUUGGAGCCUCAAGAGGAGAUAAAUUCACCCAACUCAGAAUUGGAAAAAACUACUUUAAACUUCAUAUGGAACCA